GACGAACGCUGGCGGCGUGCCUAACACAUGCAAGUCGAACGGACGAAGGGAGCUUGCUCCCUGAGUUAGUGGCGAACGGGUGAGUAACGCGUGAGUAACCUGCCUUUCAGUGGGGGACAACAGUUGGAAACGACUGCUAAUACCGCAUGACACAUUCGGAUCGCAUGGUCUGAAUGUCAAAGAUUUUAUCGCUGAAAGAUGGCCUCGCGUCUGAUUAGCUAGUUGGUGGGGUAACGGCCCACCAAGGCGACGAUCAGUAGCCGGUCUGAGAGGAUGAACGGCCACAUUGGGACUGAGAUACGGCCCAG
rnacentral:rRNA from 1 species